AGUUUGAUCAUGGCUCAGAUUGAACACUGGCGGCAUGCUUNACACAUGCAAGUCGAACGGCAGCACGGGAGCAAUCCUGGUGGCGAGUGGCGAACGGGUGAGUAAUAUAUCGGAACGUGCCCAGUCGUGGGGGAUAACGUAGCGAAAGCUACGCUAAUACCGCAUACGAUCUAUGGAUGAAAGCGGGGGAUCGCAAGACCUCGCGCGAUUGGAGCGGCCGAUAUCAGAUUAGCUAGUUGGUGGGGUAAAGGCCCACCAAGGCGACGAUCUGUAGCUGGUCUGAGAGGACGACCAGCCACACUGGAACUGAGACACGGUCCAGACUCCUACGGGAGGCAGCAGUGGGGAAUUUUGGACAAUGGGCGCAAGCCUGAUCCAGCAAUGCCGCGUGCAGGACGAAGGCCUUCGGGUUGUAAACUGCUUUUGUACGGAACGAAAAGGUCUGCCCUAAUACGGCGGGCUCAUGACGGUACCGUAAGAAUAAGCACCGGCUAACUACGUGCCAGCAGCCGCGGUAAUACGUAGGGUGCAAGCGUUAAUCGGAAUUACUGGGCGUAAAGCGUGCGCAGGCGGUUUUGUAAGACAGAUGUGAAAUCCCCGGGCUCAACCUGGGACCUGCAUUUGUGACUGCAAAGCUAGAGUACGGCAGAGGGGGAUGGAAUUCCGCGUGUAGCAGUGAAAUGCGUAGAUAUGCGGAGGAACACCGAUGGCGAAGGCAAUCCCCUGGGCCUGUACUGACGCUCAUGCACGAAAGCGUGGGGAGCAAACAGGAUUAGAUACCCUGGUAGUCCACGCCCUAAACGAUGUCAACUGGUUGUUGGGUCUCCACUGACUCAGUAACGAAGCUAACGCGUGAAGUGA
rnacentral:rRNA from 1 species